rnacentral:lncRNA from 1 species
GUAUUGAUAACGUAAUUAAUAUUAAAAUAUCUAAUCAUAGGUUUCUGUCAGUAACAUCCAUCAGUGGUUCAGGAGAAAACUUUCGCCUAAAAUUAAUGCUAGCAUUUGACCAGGUCUUCAGCUUUCGCCAAUGUUAUAAUGCUUAUUUUUUGAAAUACUCGACCUUCUUUUAUUGUAAAGAAAGGUGAUGGGUUACAAAUGCUACUAAUCAAGAAUGGAAAUGGCUUUUCUCUUUUGGGUGAGUGGGAACAUAUGGAUGGUACUGGUAAGGAGUGAUCAUGAAUAAUUUAGAAUAACUUGAGCUCUUGUGUGGUAGUAAAAAUGAAAUAUGCAUUGGUUAAAUGAGAGAGAACUAUGCUAUUUGGGUUUGAGGUCGUUGCAGUAACAUACACGUACUAUAAUUCUUUUUUUUUCCCUCCACUGUUGAAAAUGUGUAAUAGAAUAAGUAAUGCUGUGAAGCCAAUCGAGGAAUGAAGCCAGAUGCAUUUUAAUGCAAUCACUUGGGAAGUUUGAGCAGUUAGAAAUCACAACUUCCAAGAAAGAAAUUGCUGAUAUCCCUUAGGUUAACGACCUGUUUUAGUGAAGGAUCUCUUCAUUUUUAUAGUGCAUGGAAGCAUUUGAUACUCAUUUGAUAUUAGUUUAUCCAUUCAUCUAAAACAUCUUUGGCAUGGUUCCCUGCAUGGCUUUUCUCCUGACUUUAGGUCAUGAGGACUUGACUUUGUACUCUGACUGUAGUAACUACAUCGUUUUCUAGGAAGCAGUGUGCUUCCUGAAUGAAGUAGGGACGCAAUAAACUUCCAGGAGGUGUUCAUUUACGUUACCCCGCACAGAGUCGGACAUGACUGGGGUGACUUGGCAGCAGCUGCAGCCGCAGAAUCUUCCUCAUGAGAAGAAACUCUGUCUUCAUGAGAGUUUAAUAUUGACGCUAUCCAUUUGCCAUACCUGGGAGAAAAAUCCACCUUUACAUACUGUUUUCAGAGAGUGGUGUUUUAGACUUUAGCCUGUUUUGCAAAGUGUAGUAAGCAGGAUUGCAAGGUGGCCCCAAGACUUCUGAGCCUCUGCUUUAUUAUAUCAUCUAAUUGAAUAUGGAUGGAGCUCUGUGAAUAUAAUGAGAUCUCAGUUUAUGCUACUGGUACCUUAUAGGACAAAGAGAUAUUAUCUAUGUGGACCUGAUCUAAUCAUGCAAGCCCUCUGAAAGCAGAGCAGUUU